rnacentral:rRNA from 1 species
AUUGAACGCUGGCGGCGUGCUUAACACAUGCAAGUCGUGCGGGUAACAGGCGUAGCAAUACGUGCUGACGAGCGGCGAACGGGUGCGUAAUACAUGGGAAUCUGCCCUUUAGUGGGGAAUAACCCGGCGAAAGCCGGGCUAAUGCCGCAUAAGAUCUUCGGAUGAAAGCGGGGAUCGUAAGACCUCGCGCUGAUGGAUGAGCCCAUGUCGGAUUAGCAGUUGGUGAGGUAACGGCUCACCAAGGCGACGAUCCGUAGCUGGUCUGAGAGGACGGCCAGCCACAC